rnacentral:rRNA from 1 species
UGGGGAAUAUUGGACAAUGGGCGAAAGCCUGAUCCAGCCAUGCCGCGUGUGUGAAGAAGGUCUUCGGAUUGUAAAGCACUUUAAGUUGGGAGGAAGGGUUGUAGAUUAAUACUCUGCAAUUUUGACGUUACCGACAGAAUAAGCACCGGCUAACUCUGUGCCAGCAGCCGCGGUAAUACAGAGGGUGCAAGCGUUAAUAGGAAUUACUGGGCGUAAAGCGCGCGUAGGUGGUUAGUUAAGUUGGAUGUGAAAUCCCCGGGCUCAACCUGGGAACUGCAUUCAAAACUGACUGACUAGAGUAUGGUAGAGGGUGGUGGAAUUUCCUGUGUAGCGGUGAAAUGCGUAGAUAUAGGAAGGAACACCAGUGGCGAAGGCGACCACCUGGACUGAUACUGACACUGAGGUGCGAAAGCGUGGGGAGCAAACA